rnacentral:ncRNA from 2 species
CUGCUCCUAGUACGAGAGGACCGGAGUGG